rnacentral:rRNA from 1 species
GCUCGAUUUUGAAUCUGCGAUGGGCUCCGUACAACUGUUGCAACCCACCAGCGCCCCGGGGGGACCCGUGUGGCCGCGUCUUCAACAAGCGUAUGUAUAGUCUCUAAAACUGAUCUGGAAUGGAAUGUCCUCGGCGGAUAACCGAGGUAAUUCUUUGGCUAAUACGUGCGUUGAAGACCAACAGGUGGGGUCUCUCAAUGCGCUAAAGGCAUCCCGCGUGAGCGGGAGUUCAACUGCCUAAACACCUGCAAGGCACUGUUGGGGCCGCCGAAACUGAACUCUGGUUACGCCCCCCCCCCCNNNCCGGGGGGGGGGUGGCGCCACGUGAGGUGGAUGGCGUCACCCUACCGGCGUCCUUUCGCUGGUGCGCAUUGAGAGACCUCCGACCUAUCAACUGGGAUGAAUGGAGCCCGGCUCCACAUGGUUGCAACGGGUACAGAGGAUUAGGGUUCGGUCCUGGAGAGGUAGCCUCAAAAAUCGCUACCACUUCUAAGGAAGGCAGCAGGCGCGCAACGUUCCCCAUGGGGAAGCCCUGAGGACGUGAAGGGACAUAGCAAUACCGGGCGAUAUAAAGCUUGGUAAU